CCUACGGGAGGCAGCAGUGGGGAAUAUUGGACAAUGGGCGCAAGCCUGAUCCAGCCAUGCCGCGUGAGUGAUGAAGGCCUUAGGGUUGUAAAGCUCUUUCAGUAGGGACGAUAAUGACGGUACCUACAGAAGAAGCCCCGGCUAACUUCGUGCCAGCAGCCGCGGUAAUACGAAGGGGGCUAGCGUUGUUCGGAUUUACUGGGCGUAAAGCGCACGUAGGCGGAUCGUUAAGUCGGGGGUGAAAUCCUGGAGCUCAACUCCAGAACUGCCUUCGAUACUGGCGAUCUUGAGUCCGGAAGAGGUGAGUGGAACUCCUAGUGUAGAGGUGGAAUUCGUAGAUAUUAGGAAGAACACCAGUGGCGAAGGCGGCUCACUGGUCCGGUACUGACGCUGAGGUGCGAAGCGUGGGGAGCAACAGGAUUAGAUACCCUGGUAGUCCACGCCGUAAACUAUGAGAGCUAGCCGUUGGGAGAUUUAUCUCUCAGUGGCGCAGCUAACGCAUUAAGCUCUCCGCCUGGGGAGUCGGUCGCAGAUUAAACGUCAAUAGAAUUGACGGCGUGAGACGUGCCGAGGCACGACGAGGGUAG
rnacentral:rRNA from 1 species